rnacentral:lncRNA from 10 species
UUUUUUUUGAGGCGGAGUCUCGCUCCCUCCCAGGCUGGAGUGCAGUGGUGCGAUCUCGGCUCACUGCAAGCUCCACCUCCCAGGUUCACGCCAUUCUCCUGCCUCAGCCUCCCAAGUAGUUGGGACUACAGGCGCCCGCUACCAUGCCUGGCUAAUUUUUUUGUAAUUUUAGUAGAGUCGGGGUUUCACCAUGUUAGCCAGGAUGGUCUCGCUAUCCUGACCUCCUGAUCCACCAGCCUCGGCCUCCCCAAGUGCUGGGAUUACAGGCGUGAGCCACCGCGCCCAGCCUACAGUGCUUCUUUAAGGCUAAGAAAGCCUUCACUUCCAACAGCAGUAUCUCUUGGAAGGCCAGUUUUGAAGAAACAAAGUGGCCAUUCCCUUUUUUUUCCUUCCUGCUUCUUAUGCACUGGAAUCAUUGGGAUCUAUAGGACUGAUCAACCGCAGCAGUUUUAACAGGGAGAAAAAUUUUAAAACCUGAAUAAGUGGAAGCCCUUAUAAAAGAGGCCUGAGAGAGACUCCUCACCCUUCUGCCAUGGGAGGACACAGCAAGAAGGCACUGUCUAUGAACCAGAAAGUGGGCCUUCACUAGACACCAAAUCUGCUGAUGCCUUGAUCUUGGACAUCCCAAGUUUCAGAAUUAACCACAUCAGAAACCUAUGUCCUGAGACAGUGACAUCAGCAAGAUGGCAGAGUAGGAGAUACUAGACUUUGUUCCCCAACAAAAAAAACAAUUAUACAGAUAUCCAUAAACAUAGAUAGAUCAGAGAGGGCUCAAUAGUUCAACCAAGAACCUGAAGAAACACAGUGGAGUAAAAUAUGGAGAAAAACCACACGAAAAUAAUAACUGAAAUGGCAUACUUGAGACAUCUGGAGACAAAGAAAGGUUGAGCCAUCAGUAUCAGUCAUGCAGAAGGUGCCAACAUGAUCCUCCGUGGCCUGUCCUGCAGAGAACCCCGGCAGCCUUUGCUGAUGAGGAACUUAGCAGCCCUUGUGGUAGUCAUGGACUCCCUGCAGCUUUCACAGUGGAGGUCCCCUUAGUGGUGGUUAGCAUGGAUCCCAUCGGCUGCCCCACAGAGGAUACUGGCAGCUUUUACCACUGAGCUAUCCAACAAUCAUGGUCACUGCGGACUCCCCAGAGACAGAGACGCUACUGCACCCUGCCUGAAGAAGGAGCUGCUGUUGUGCCACCCAGGACCAGGGUGACCCCUUGCCCACAACAACCCCAGCUCCUCACCCAAGGCAUAUUCCAGGACCCAGGAACCACAGAUGUCCUGGGUAUAUAUCCAAAAGAAAUAAAAU